AUGAUAGCGAUGCCGUCGUCGGCGUCCUCCACGCCGGCCGCCGACGUGUUGGGCGUGCCGCCUCCGCUGCCGCAGCCGCCGGGCGCGGACGUGUCCAUCAUCGUGGGCGUGCUCACGGGCGUCCUCCUGGGGCUCUUCCUCUUCCUCAUCUACGCCAAGCACUGCAGGCAACGCGGUGCCCGCGGCGCGGCCGGCCGCCUGGGCCUCGGGUUCCGGGCGUCGUCGACGUGCGACCGGUGCUGCUCCGGCCUGAGCCUCUCGGUCGUUGACGCGCUCCCGGUGGUCAGGUUCGGGGACAUGGGCGGCGCCGCGGCGGCCGCGCAGCCGGAGUGCGCGGUGUGCCUGGGCGCGUUCGACGCGGCGGCCGACGAGCUGCUCCGGGUGCUGCCCAAGUGCCGCCACGCGUUCCACGCGGACUGCGUCGACACGUGGCUGGAGGCGCACUCGACGUGCCCCGUCUGCCGCCGCCGCGUCGGCAAGGAGGACGCAUUCGCGGUGAUCCCCAAGCUGGAGGCCGGCGCGGAUCACGGUGACGCGGAGUGGUAUCCGGCCCGCGAGGCGGAGAUGCAGAUCGUGGUGCGCCGACCGGCGUGA
rnacentral:rRNA from 1 species